rnacentral:lncRNA from 1 species
UUAUUGUGGCCAUGAGAGGAGUAACUUUGAGAUUUCAUGUUGGUGGAUGUGGUUGAGAAGACGAAGAUCGGGUUGAUUGCAGCUUAAUGUUGAGGACAGCUUGAUGGAUGAAGAUGAAGUUUACUGAAGCAUCUGUGCUUGAAAAGGAGGUGGUUCAUGGGGUGUAUUCGGUUACACAAAUUUGGUAACCGGUUACGGUGGUGAGAAGAAAAUGAAGAUGGAGUUGUAUUCGGUUACAUCACACCUAUCCGGUUCC